rnacentral:antisense_RNA from 1 species
AUAAAGAGAACAAGUCUCAGCCAGUAGCUCAGCUCAGGGGAGAGGCUCUCAGCUGAGUCCCCAUUGAGCAUUCUGGGGUAUAGGGUCUCUAAAUCACCUCCUUCUUGGGAUUGAUUCCUGAGCUGCCAGAACCCGACAGAAGGCAAGUUUCCUGCUAUAAGUUCCUCUUUCCUUCUUGAUGAGGAGGGGCACUUCAGAGCCAAAGAGGAAACGAAUCCCAUCUGUUCUGAGCCCCCAAGCACAGUUCAAGAGGACAGGCUGGGGAGUGGAGGAAGGGGCGGUGAAGAGAAAAAUAAGAAGACUGGAACAUCCAGCCACACACGGAGGGCAAGAAGCAACCUGAUGAGAGAGCCAGGGUGUGGCAGAAGUCGCCAAGGAAUCCCUUCUGUUCCCGACACACGCUCACAGCGCUCACUCAAGAUGGAGCCUGCUGACUCUGUCUAAGGCCCUGUGGCCCUUGGCAUAGGUUGUGGGACAGCAGUCCUCUCAGGGCUGUGGACCUCACACCUCUAUGUAACGUGAAGGGCACCCUCUGGAGUUGUGGGACUCGGCAGUAGUGUUACUGCAUUGGCCUGCAAGUCCCCAUCCAUUACUGCCACCCAGCUCAGACACAGCUCACCCAUUCACACACACACAAAUGGACACAUUGAGAAGGAAACCCACAUUAAAGUAGGGAGAAGAUGGAGGGCCCUCUGACCUCCUCCCACCAGGCACGUGUGCCUCCUAUACUCAGUGCCUGCAUCCACCUCUGUAUGGGUACCCAUCCUCUAUUCCCCUCCCACUCCAAUGGAUGCCAGGGAUGGAAAGACAGAUGGCUGUGAAACUUAUCUUCUUAUUUAGAUUAAAUUCUAGACCUUCCUAUUUUUAGAAAAACAAAUUCCUUUUGUAUUUCCAAGUAGUAAAAAUGGCCCGAGCUGUCAUCUAGGACAGUCAGCAGCCAACUCGAAGUUGUCUGCAGUGUCAUGAUUUGGAUAUUACCCUGGCGAGACUACUUCUGGUGUCAAGCGGGUGAUCAGUCUAGGUGCCAAAUUUUAAGAGGAUCAUUGACGUCUUGAGAGCUUCCAGAGGAGGGUGACCAGGACAAUGAAAGGUUCGAAAAACUGGGUCAUUUAAGAAAGUACUGAAAUAAGCUAGGGACUUUUUCUUUUUCUUUUUGGUCUAGAGAAUAUUUGAGCUAUAUUAAGAACAUGUUGAAAUAUUUGGAUGAAGAGUUACACCCUUAUUCUGUUUUUCCCAGAUGACAGAAUUUGAAUCAAUAGGUAGAAGUUACAGCGAAGCAGAUUUCAGCUGAAUAUUUAGAAACUUUCUUAUAACUUAAUUCUGUAUGAUAUGGAAUAAGCUUCCCAUCACUGUGCCUAUGCAAGCCAAGGAUGAACGACUGUCUGUCAGGGAUACUGUAGAGAAGAUUAUUGUACUAGAUAGGAACAUGGACUAGUCUAAAAUUACUGAGAAGCUUUAGAAAAAUGUGGCUUUCUGGGUAGCAGAGAUUCUGCACUGGUAAGUCUGAGGCUUAGAAUUUGUAUUUCUAAAAAACCCCAUCAGCUAUAAAACUCUCAGAAGAAAACAUAGGGGAAAAGCUGCAUGGCAUUAGAUUUUGCAAUGAUUUCUUAGAUAUGACACUCAAAGCAUAGCCAACAAAAGAAAAAAAUAGAUAAACUGGAUUUCAUCUAAAUAAAAAGCUUUUGUGCAUCAAAGGAUACAUCUACAGAAUUGAAAAGGAAACCCAACACACAGAAUGAAAGAAAAUAUCUCCAAAUCAUACAUGUGAUAAAAGGUUCAUAUCUAGCAUAUAUAAAGAACUCUUAACACUC